GAUGAACGCUGACAGAAUGCUUAACACAUGCAAGUCAACUUGAACUUCGGUUUGGGUGGCGGACGGGUGAGUAACGCGUAAAGAACUUGCCUCACAGCUAGGGACAACAUUUGGAAACGAAUGCUAAUACCUGAUAUUAUGAUUAUAUGGCAUCGUAUAAUUAUGAAAGCUAUAUGCGCUGUGAGAGAGCUUUGCGUCCCAUUAGCUAGUUGGAGAGGUAACAGCUCACCAAGGCGAUGAUGGGUAGCCGGCCUGAGAGGGUGAUCGGCCACAAGGGGACUGAGACACGGCCCUUACGCCUACGGGAGGCAGCAGUGGGGAAUAUUGGACAAUGGACCGAGAGUCUGAUCCAGCAAUUCUGUGUGCACGAUGAAGUUUUUCGGAAUGUAAAGUGCUUUCAGUUGGGAAGAAAAAAAUGACGGUACCAACAGAAGAAGUGACGGCUAAAUACGUG
rnacentral:rRNA from 1 species